ensembl:lncRNA
GUGUUGUUGUGUUGCAGCCUCAGCAAAUCGCACUGCAUCCCGCUUCACUGUACAACACCAUGAUGAUCGCCCAGCAGGGUGCGAGCCAUCUGGUCCAGUUGACCACCAGCCUGUCCCAGAACACCAGUUCCAGCGCUUCCACCUCCUUCCCCGAUGAGCGAUCGGGCCAGAUGAGCCCUCCUGUUUUUACCCAAAGCAACCCGUAGUGACAGUGCUGCGGGGCCUGGGGGUCCCGACGCACCGGUCGGUGACUGUCCGUCUCUCCCAAUGAGUCGAGCUCGCCUAAGUGAGGCGCAAAAGGCUGACCUGGCAUUGAAAAGGUGUUUCUCAAAGGGGGUUCCCGGCGGGCCAGCAGCUCCUCACAAAGCUGUUGACGGGCCAGGUGGCAUGCGGCCUGUUGAUGCUGCCCACCAACAUGUUCAUGGGUCAGCUGGUGACAGCCUUCGCUCCCCAGCAGGGCCAGGCACACACCAUGGUAUCUCCCAGCAGCGGACGGCGCAGAAGCAUUAGGGUCAGCCGCAC